rnacentral:rRNA from 1 species
AUUGAACGCUGGCGGCAUGCUUUACACAUGCAAGUCGGACGGCAGCGGGGUAGUGCUUGCACUACUGCCGGCGAGUGGCGAACGGGUGAGUAACAUAUCGGAACGUACCGAGCAGUGGGGGAUAACUAAUCGAAAGAUUAGCUAAUACCGCAUAUAUUCUGAGGAAGAAAGCAGGGGACCUUUGGGCCUUGCGCUGUUUGAGCGGCCGAUAUCUGAUUAGCUGGUUGGUGGGGUAAAGGCCUACCAAGGCGACGAUCAGUAGCGGGUCUGAGAGGAUGAUCCGCCACACUGGGACUGAGACACGGCCCAGACUCCUACGGGAGGCAGCAGUGGGGAAUUUUGGACAAUGGGGGCAACCCUGAUCCAGCCAUGCCGCGUGUCUGAAGAAGGCCUUUCGGGUUGUAAAGGACUUUUGUCCGGGAAGAAAAGCGCGAUGUUAAUACCAUUGCGUGCUGACGGUACCGGAAGAAUAAGCACC